AUUGAACGCUGGCGGCAGGCCUAACACAUGCAAGUCGAGCGGAUGAAGGGAGCUUGCUCCUGGAUUCAGCGGCGGACGGGUGAGUAAUGCCUAGGAAUCUGCCUGGUAGUGGGGGAUAACGUCCGGAAACGGGCGCUAAUACCGCAUACGUCCUGAGGGAGAAAGGGGGGGAUCUUCGGACCUCACGCUAUCAGAUGAGCCUAGGUCGGAUUAGCUAGGUGGUGGGGUAAAGGCCUACCAAGGCGACGAUCCGUAACUGGUCUGAGAGGAUGAUCAGUCACACUGGAACUGAGACACGGUCCAGACUCCUACGGGAGGCAGCAGUGGGGAAUAUUGGACAAUGGGCGAAAGCCUGAUCCAGCCAUGCCGCGUGUGUGAAGAAGGUCUUCGGAUUGUAAAGCACUUUAAGUUGGGAGGAAGGGCAGUAAGUUAAUACCUUGCUGUUUUGACGUUACCAACAGAAUAAGCACCGGCUAACUUCGUG
rnacentral:rRNA from 1 species